AAACCGUGAUGAGGGGACUUGCGAAGAAAAGAUGUUUAAAUCGUUCAUGGGCUUCAAAGAGUGUCUCAGCAUCACCUUGGCUGAAAAACGAUAUCUCCUGUCUCAGUCU